rnacentral:rRNA from 1 species
CCUACGGGCGGCAGCAGUGGGGAAUAUUGCACAAUGGGCGCAAGCCUGAUGCAGCCAUGCCGCGUGUGUGAAGAAGGCCUUCGGGUUGUAAAGCACUCUCAGCGGGGAGGAAGGCGGUGAGGUUAAUAACCUCAUCGAUUGACGUUACCCGCAGAAGAAGCACCGGCUAACUCCGUGCCAGCAGCCGCGGUAAUACGGAGGGUGCAAGCGUUAAUCGGAAUUACUGGGCGUAAAGCGCACGCAGGCGGUCUGUCAAGUCGGAUGUGAAAUCCCCGGGCUCAACCUGGGAACUGCAUUCGAAACUGGCAGGCUAGAGUCUUGUAGAGGGGGGUAGAAUUCCAGGUGUAGCGGUGAAAUGCGUAGAGAUCUGGAGGAAUACCGGUGGCGAAGGCGGCCCCCUGGACAAAGACUGACGCUCAGGUGCGAAAGCGUGGGGAGCAAACAGGAUUAGAUACCCUUGUAGUC